ACAGUACAAACUGAGCAGGCGAUGAACCUAAGCGUUCGUGGGGCCGGGCCGCUUUGGCGGCAGCAGAUCGUAAACACAGCAUCUGUGGGACAGUG
rnacentral:ncRNA from 12 species